GGGCUCAACCUCUGGAGUGCGCGUGAUACUGUGAUGCUGGAGUAAUGGAGGGGGAACCGGAAUUCUUGGUGUAGCAGUGAAAUGCGUAGAUAUCAAGAAGAAGACUCGUGGCGAAGGCGGGUUCCUGGACAUUUACUGACGCUGAGGUACGAAGGCCAGGGUAGCGAAAGGGAUUAGAUACCCCUGUAGUCCUGGCAGUAAACGGUGCACGUUUGGUGUGCGGAGAUUCGACCCUCUGCGUGCCGGAGUUAACACGUUAAACGUGCCGCCUGGGGAGUACGGUCGCAAGAUUAAAACUCAAAGAAAUUGACGGGGACCCGCACAAGCGGUGGAGUAUGUGGCUUAAUUCGAUGCAACGCGAAGAACCUUACCAAGGCUUGACAUCCCGUGACCGUCUGUGAAAGCAGAUUUUCUAUUCGUAGACACGGAGACAGGUGCUGCAUGGCCGCCGUCAGCUAGUGUCGUGAGAUGUUUGGUUAAGUCCAGCAACGAGCGCAACUCCUGCUGCCAGUUACCAUCAUUAAGUUGGGGACUCUGGCGGGACUGCCCAGAUCAACUGGGAGGAAGGUGGGGACGACGUCAGGUCAGUAUGGCCCUUAUGCCUUGGGCUGCACACGUACUACAAUGCCCAGUACAGAGGGAAGCCAACCCGCGAGGGUGAGCGGAUCCCGAAAAGUGGGCCCAGUUCGGAUUGGAGGCUGCAACUCGC
rnacentral:rRNA from 1 species